UACAAAUGAUGCAAGUCUUAUUCGGAUUUAUUGGGUGUAAAGCGUCUGCAGGUGGAUAUUUAAGUCUUUUGUUAAAACUUUGGGCUCAACCCAAAAUCUGCAAAAGAAACUAUUUAUCUUGAGUAAGAUAGAGGUAAAGGGAAUUUCCGGUGGAGCGGUGAAAUGCGUAGAGAUCGGAAGGAACACCAAUUGCGAAAGCACUUUACUAGGUCUUUUACUGACACUCAGAGACGAAAGCUAAGGUA
rnacentral:rRNA from 1 species